rnacentral:tRNA from 1 species
GAUCGAUUGGCUUAGUGGUUAAGCACCUGCUACACAAGAAAAUCGCACGGGAUCGCAGUCGAACCCUGCAUCGAUCA